CCUGUUUAACAAAAACAUGUCUUUUUGAUUAUAAUAUUAAGUCUGGCCUGCCCACUGAAUUUUGAAGGGCCGCAGUAUUCUGACUGUGCAAAGGUAGCAUAAUCAUUUGCCUUUUAAUUAAAGGCUAGUAUGAAUGGUUGAACGAAAUACAAACUGUCUCACUUUUAUAAUUAUAAUAAUUUAGCUUUCUAGUUAAAAGGCUUGAAUGUUAUUAGAGGACGAGAAGACCCUAUAGAACUUUAUAUAAUUUUAUGUAAAUAUUUAUAGUAAAAUAAUUUUAUUUACUUAUUUUUAUAUUUUGUUGGGGUGACAGGAAAAUUAAUAUAACUUUUUUGACGUGAAGACAUUGAUUUAUGAAUAUUUGAUCCAUUAUUAUUGAUUAUUAGAAUAAGUUACCUUAGGGAUAACAGCGUAAUUUUGUUGGAGAGUUCAUAUCUAUAACAAAGUUUGCGACCUCGAUGUUGAAUUAAAGAAAUUUUAGAGUGCAGAAGCUUUAAGUAAUAGGUC
rnacentral:rRNA from 1 species